GACGAACGCUGGCGGCGUGCUUAACACAUGCAAGUCGAACGGAAAGGCCCUGCUUGCUGGGUACUCGAGUGGCGAACGGGUGAGUAACACGUGGGUGAUCUGCCCUGCACUUCGGGAUAAGCCUGGGAAACUGGGUCUAAUACCGGAUAGGAGCCAUUUUUAGUGUGAUGGUUGGAAAGUUUUUUCGGUGUAGGAUGAGCUCGCGGCCUAUCAGCUUGUUGGUGGGGUAAUGGCCUACCAAGGCGGCGACGGGUAGCCGGCCUGAGAGGGUGGACGGCCACAUUGGGACUGAGAUACGGCCCAGACUCCUACGGGAGGCAGCAGUGGGGAAUAUUGCACAAUGGGCGGAAGCCUGAUGCAGCGACGCCGCGUGGGGGAUGACGGCCUUCGGGUUGUAAACUCCUUUCGCUAGGGACGAAGCUUUUUGUGACGGUACCUAGAUAAGAAGCACCGGCUAACUACGUGCCAGCAGCCGCGGUAAUACGUAGGGUGCGAGCGUUGUCCGGAAUUACUGGGCGUAAAGGGCUCGUAGGUGGUUUGUCGCGUCGUCU
rnacentral:rRNA from 1 species